rnacentral:tRNA from 1 species
GGCCGCGUUGGCGGGGGCUACCUACGUUGACAUCGUAGUGGUCACAGGUUCGAUCCCUGUCGCGCCCACCA